rnacentral:lncRNA from 1 species
CCAACCACGAAAAGCAGUUUCUCCCUCGUUAUUUAUGUGUGCAAGUAGAUGUGGUACAGCUUCCUGUAUAUCUUCACGAAUCUCGUAAGUAGAUUCUAGACGGAAGAGAUUGACGUUUCUAAGGAGGUAAUCAUGGAGUGUUAGAAACUGAAGAUUAAGCUUUGGAAGAGCAAGGCAACCUUCCCCAGAAUAGUUAAUGCUUGGAAUAACACUUUCGUCUCACAUGAUUUGCUCAUUUGGGUACAAAGGCAGAGCGUUUAUGGCUUCUUUCUGAGACUGUUGCUUCUCAAAAGAGGAGACCACGACCUCAGUCAGAAAAUCCUUACUAUCUGCCCAAGGAUCAUGUCUUGAAACCAGUUUGAGCUGUACAAAAGCAUACGAAAAUGAGAACGAUUUAGGUGGCGAGGUCGUAAGUUAAAUUGUAAAGGAACAUAAAUGUAUGAAAAAGUAAACUAAAGCCACCAGCAGCAAGAUUCCAUAAUGAUUAAUUUCACAAGUGAACCUACAAGAAUAAGCCUUCCAGAUAUAAUACCUUUGAGCAGACAACAUCCCUUAAAUCUUCAAGAGAAAGCGCAGACAAUCUCCUCCUAAGAUCAGAACUCUUGUGAACCGAACCAAUGUUAGCCAAAGACACAUCUCGCAACUGAAACAAACAAUAUAACAAAAAACCUCUUUUUCUUCACUUGUUUUUUUAGUUCUUGAAAGGACUCUCAAUAAUAUGUUCUCUAAUUUUAUAGGUGUUCAACAAUCGGAGCUAUUAUAAUGACUCCUCUUCUCACUAAGCUUCUUGCUGGCCAGCUUGUUCCCGUUGAUGCUGCCGUGAGUUUUUCUUUGUGACUAGAAAUUAGCAAAGUAGAAUUGUAUAACAAGAUAGUUGCAUCCUGCCAUAACAAAGGAUUUUUUGACAUUAGGGACUAGCUCUUAGCACUUUUCAAGUAGUGUUGGUGCCUACUAUAGUUGGAGGUAAAGUAUUGAGCUCAGUGUUUCUAGAACAAUGAAUUUGCCUAUGAUUCCUUAGGGACUAAAGUCUUUUUUGUAUGCAUUGUGUGACAGUUCUGGCUAAUGAGUUCUUUCCUAAGUUUACGUCGAAGAUUAUAACAGUGACACCUCUAAUAGGAGUCAUUCUCACCACUCUUCUCUGUGCUAGCCCUGUAAGUAAAAUUCCAUAUAACUACAAAAUUGAAUGUUUUAGGAGUGAAAGUAGUAUUUGACUCUUGUGAAAAAAGAUUGGACAAGUUUCAGAGGUUUUGAAAACGCAAGGAGGUCAGCUCAUACUCCCAGUAGCACUCCUUCAUGCUGCAGCCUUUGCUAUUGGCUAUUGGAUUUCAAAGUUCUCUUUCGGCGAGUCCACUUCCCGCACCAUUUCUAUAGAAUGUGGAAUGCAAGUAAGUUAAAUUCUUAUACACCAAUGUAAUAUAUUGCCGUUUGUUUUGGUUAGAAGCUCCUUAUUUAAGAAACUUUUAUUGUUUUGUGCAUAACUGCAGAGUUCAGCGCUGGGGUUCUUGCUUGCACAAAAGCAUUUCAAAAAUCCUCUGGUCGCUGUUCCUUCUGCAGUGAGUGUUGUCUGUAUGGCGGUAAGUCUUCAUAGGCAUUGUUCUUUGAACCAAUGUGUAGUUUAUGUUUAGUGGCAUUGUUGUAACCAUGGUCCAUUGCAUUAUGCAGCUCGGUGGGAGUGGAUUAGCUGUGUUCUGGAGAAACCAACCGAUUCCGGAAGAUGACAAGGAUGACUUCAAAGAGUGAAAAGCUAUUUGUGUCUAUGGGAUUGUAAUGUUUAUAGACAUGAUGCUCCCUUGUGUUUGAUUGAAAGAGAUAAACCAAGAUCUGUGUUAAAAAGGACAAACAAGGGCGCGCAUGUUGAAUCCGUGGUCAAAUUUUUCGUUUGUUUUGGGCUUGCCAAGUUAGUCCCAAGACUUGAGCAAUAACACAACUCUUAAACUGGCUUGGAUGACAGGCGAGAAGCUUGAUUUCAUCCUUGUCUCAACAUUUAAACAUGUCUAUCAGAUUCUAUACGAGUUUCUAAGCAACGACUGUGAUAUACCGCUCAGUGACUCCAUAUCCAUAAAAUUUAUAAUGCUCUAUCUCAUCACCAACAAAACAUUAUCGUAGAUUGAUCCUCUAUAUAUAGAGAAAUAGAAAUCAGUAUGCAUUCGAGGUGUUUAGUGAUUUUACCAGUUACGUGAAAGGAAAACUCAAGGUUUGAUCUGCUCUAAUUCUCAUCAAGCUUUCCCAUUCUCACUGCUAACUCCAUUGUCCACCUCCAUGCUAACCGUCUCCUUUGAUGAUUCGUCAACUACACCAUCUACCUCUGGCUGCAUCUUCUUCUCAGAUUCACCAUCUUCGCUAACAACUGUAUCACUCUCCAUGUGAUUACCGUCUUCAAUUUGUGGCGUGUGAUUCUGGUAUUGCUCGUACACCCCUUGUGCCUGUCCCCAACAGAAAAAAACACACACAAACAUGAAGCAAACGACUUUCCAAACAAACAAAAAUUAGUUAUCCAAGCAAGUUUUGCGUCGGUUACCUUGUAGAACUCGUUCAUCCUAUCGUGAACUAUGUGUGCCAUCUCUUCAACAUCAUGAACGAGGUAAGGAUUUCCAACUUCCUCCACCGCACGAUCUGUAUACGCUGAUGUGUUCUCACUCAGGUUGAGCCCGAGCCUAUCGGGUCUUCUCAGAAGAAGCUGAAACGUUGGUUGCAGCUCAUAGCAUUGUUCAAACAGAGAGCGGCGGCAGAACACGUGACAUUGCAACUACCAACCUUCUUACGUCACGUAGAUGUCCAACAAAGCGUGUCCGUACAAGAGACAGCAAAAUAAAGUCAUUCUGUUGUCCUUGGAACUUAUCCACUGUAGUCACCUGAGGAAACAACAAAACCAAGACGAUCAAAACACCAAAAUAGAUAUGGAAGCAUUGCACACACACAAUGCAUUAACACACGAGAAGGAUAGUUUACCUUGCUAGGCGGGCCGAUGAAAGAAUAAGGAACACAGCGACGGUUGAUAACAUCACGGAUUAAGAGCUUCUGCCCAUUAUACGUCGUCAAUAUCGAUAUCUUAUUAGCAGGAUAUCCUAGCAAUCUCAUGUAUAUAUAGACACUGACGAUAUAUUCAGCUUCUCCUUGAUUUUGAUAAAACCAUGGAGAUGGUGUUGACUCUCCUUUCCCUUCGUAGUCAGGCACAUUAAUCAACUGAUACUCAUAUGAGAAACCAGCAUUUGCUCUAUGAAAGAUGGGUGCUUCCUUAACAAUGGAAAGGUCUCCCAAGUCUCUGUAUCUCCAGUUGUAGAGUUUGGCUAAGCUUGGCCUCGCUCUUCCUUGAGCAUUAAGCUCGAUAUAUGGAAUACCAAAACGAACAAACCUCGUAAACAGACUCUGAUCCAUGUGACUGUAUUUCUGGAAAGCCAUGUUCUUCACCACGGGAGGCAGCUGGUGGUGAUCACCAAUCAAUAUACAGCGCUUGAGUCGUGAAUGGCCAUCUUCUUGCCUCUGAAGUAACAUUGGUAUGAAAGUCUCGAUUUCCAAAAUCUGAGCACUUUCUUCCAUCAGUAAGUUAUCAUACUUGAAUCCCAGCUUAAGAAAAUCUCUCCUCUUUAAUGCCGCAUGAGUACACGUCAUUGCUACAAUCUUUGCUUGUUUGGUCAUCAGGUAAUUUGCUCUAUCAGCAGUUGAUUUGAGUAGUUCGAAGGCCCUACACUCUUCUAGCUCAUGGAACACGGUCUUGAGAUGAGUGAAACAACCUUUAGCUGCCCUCAUGUCUUUCUCAAAUGACUCCCCGCUAAAAACAGGUUUAGGCGCGUCUGAGAAGAAUUCUUUGAACGGGAAGCGAUCUUGAACAAACGAUGGGUUGUUUUCAUUUCCACCACAAGCAGCAAGAAAUAGCUCCCAACGCGAGUAGACAUGAAGCAACCAGAAAUACCCAGCUGUUUCACAUGUAUAACCUACAUCCUCUGGAAGUUGAAGUGAUCUUGCUAAUCUUUCAACCUCGCUGAGCAGUUCUAAACGUCGAACAAGCAUGGCAUUGACACGGCCUUGUCUGCUAAAGUCAAGAUCGGUGGCAAGCUCUUGUUCACCUUGACCUAGACGGAGUAGAUACCGCGCUGGCACAUCCCUCUGAAAAAACAAACCCAUGUAACAUUUGUCGGUCAGAACCUGUUAAACCAUUACUCCAUAUAACAAAAAAAAAACAGAGACGCCAAUGUACCUCCAUUAUCUUCUCGAAAAGAUCAUUCAAAGCCUGAUUUGAAUGAGUGAUAAUUAAGGUCCUUUGUGAAGGACAGUUAUGAUAUAGCACAUUUAAGAUUUGCACAGCUGUAUCAGUCUUUCCGGUACCCGGUGGACCAACCACCAUAGUGAGCCCAGGCUGAAUACCAGAAAUGAUCGCUCCAACCUACAGGACAAUAAUAAGUAUGGUUUGAUUAAAAAUUGCAACUAAAAACUAUUCAUCUUGAAUCCAAGCCAUAUGUUUUGGAAUAUUUUAUCAACCAGUAGAGAGAAAAGGUCCCACCAUUGAGGUGAUAAAAAUACUUUUGGAACUUCAGGUAAAACUUUCUCCGAUUAAAAUAGAAUAUCAUGUGAUUCUUAACUAGAUCAAAGAGACGAGACUAAGCCAAAUGCUUUACUAUUCAUUCGAACGAGAAUGCACAAAAGUUUAUACAGGUUAAUAAAUUUCAGAUAUAAAACACAAUGAGGCCGCAUAAAGAUGAUGAGUAGCAUUCUAUUUGACUUGAUUGUUCUGUAAUAUAUGUGAAUUCUACAGUGAUCAAUUUUCUCAAUAUUAAAAAUAUGUCACGAAUAACAAAGCUGAUGAGCAUAGCCAGCACAAUUACAUAGUAACCAAAUGGUCCUAAUCAAAUAGGUGUACUGCUGAGGAUAUAGAAAUUAGUAGUACCUGCGUAGGUGUGAAUUUAACUGAGUUCUGCUUCGGCUGGUCCUGAGGAUAAGGCCCUGGGUCUGGUGGGGUGUAUGCCUCGACAAUAAGUUUCUCCUUCGGGGACACAUCCACCAUAUCAACAUUUUCUGAUGGAUUUACUUCAGAUAUCUUAUUUCCAGAAAGAGCAUAAGCAUUCCCUUUUAGUGUCUUUGGAAGAGUGAUUCGAAACGGAGGCCUUGGAUCCAGAACUUCAGCACCAUCAGCAUUUACGAAAGAUACCUGCGGUGCACGACUUGUGAGAGACAUGGAAAAAGAGGCUGUUCUAGAUCACAUCGUAUACCACAGAAAAUAAUUACUAACCUCAUAAUCUGGAAAACUUUCACUGAGAUGAUUUGCAUCAAGGAAAGUAUCUUUGAAGUCCACGGUUUUCAAGAGGUUUGGCAUAUUAGGCCACUGUGCAGCAGAAGGGUUGCCAUACCCAAGAAAAACGUUAUGCAACCAAUCCGGUACAAUACAAUAUUCAUUCAUGAGAUCUCUGAUAGAUUCCAGAAUAGCCUUGAAGUUGUUCUCUUUUGGUUUCCUCCUCAUUAGCACAUUAAAUGUGCCAUACACAUCCUCAGCACCUUUUUCAGCAAUCUCUGUAACAUCUAUGUGCUACUGUGCAGCAUCUAAAGCGACAGUCACAGUCCUCAUAUCACCUUUUGGGGGCUUCCAUUCAUCCCGUUUAACUUUUCCAGAAAAAUCAUUCAUCAGAUUGCCUUCCUCGUCACGGAUAUCGAUGACUUCACAACCACGAACAUACUGAAGCCCGAGUCUCUGCGGUACUGUAGCUUUAGCAGCUUCCUCUACACCUAACGGCUCAAAUGAAGGGCGUAUACAAAGCAAAAACAGUACAUCAUGCUCUUUAAUGGAAUUCCACUCAGAUCUUAUCUGUGUUCUGUAACUCUUGAUGCUGAAGGUAACUUCUGCAGUCACAGAAGCUGGCUUCUCUUCUCCAAUAUUAGGCUGUUUCACCUGAGCGAUUUUGAAUCCGUUAAUCGGGACGGCCAUUCGUGACCAACCACGAAAAGCAGUUUCUCCCUCGUUAUUUAUGUGUGCAAGUAGAUGUGGUACAGCUUCCUGUAUAUCUUCACGAAUCUCGUAAGUAGAUUCUAGACGGAAGAGAUUGACGUUUCUAAGGAGGUAAUCAUGGAGUGUUAGAAACUGAAGAUUAAGCUUUGGAAGAGCAAGGCAACCUUCCCCAGAAUAGUUAAUGCUUGGAAUAACACUUUCGUCUCACAUGAUUUGCUCAUUUGGGUACAAAGGCAGAGCGUUUAUGGCUUCUUUCUG